GAUGAACGCUGGCUACAGGCUUAACACAUGCAAGUCGAGGGGAAACGACGGGGAAGCUUGCUUCCCCGGGCGUCGACCGGCGCACGGGUGAGUAACGCGUAUCCAACCUGCCUCUGACUGAGGGAUAACCCGUCGAAAGUCGGCCUAAUACCUCAUGGCAUCGUCUGCGGGCAUCCAACGACGAUUAAAGAUUUCAUCGGUCAGGGAUGGGGAUGCGUCUGAUUAGCUAGUUGGCGGGGUAACGGCCCACCAAGGCGACGAUCAGUAGGGGUUCUGAGAGGAAGGUCCCCCAAAUUGGAACUGAGACACGGUCCAAACUCCUACGGGAGGCAGCAGUGAGGAAUAUUGGUCAAUGGGCGAGAGCCUGAACCAGCCAAGUAGCGUGCAGGAUGACGGCCCUAUGGGUUGUAAACUGCUUUUAUGCGGGGAUAAAGUGAGGGACGUGUCCUUCAUUGCAGGUACCGAAUGAAUAAGGACCGGCUAAUUCCGUG
rnacentral:rRNA from 1 species